rnacentral:rRNA from 1 species
GAUGAACGCUGGCGGCGUGCCUAAUACAUGCAAGUCGAACGGACGGACGAGAAGCGUGCGCCCCUGCUGUUAGCGGCGGACGGGUGAGUAACGCGUGGAUAACCUUCCUAUAUGACGGGGAUAACUACGGGAGACCGGAGACACUAACGGCUCAUAUUUUGAACGGCAGGGAGCAAAAGAGAAUGACGGCUUUGCUGACACUAAUAGACGGUGCCGGGCUGGCUUAGCUAGUUGGUAAGGUAACGGCCUACCAAGGCAACGAUGCAUAGCCGACCUGAGAGGGUGAUCGGCCACACUGGAACUGAGACACGGUCCAGACUCCUACGGGAGGCAGCAGUAGGGAAUCUUCCGCAAAGGGCGCAAGCCUGACGGAGCAACGCCGCGUGAGUGAUGAAGGUCUUCGGAUCGUAAAGCUCUGUUAUUAGGGAAGAACAGAUGUGUGAGUAACUGUGCACAUCUUGACGGUACCUAAUCAGAAAGCCACGGCUAACUACGUG